rnacentral:tRNA from 1 species
GAUCCCGUAGCUCAGGCCGGUAGAGCAACUGACUUUUAAUCAGUAGGUCACGCGUUCGAAUCGCGUCGGGAUCG